rnacentral:rRNA from 1 species
UAGGGAAUAUUGGGCAAUGGGCGAAAGCCUGACCCAGCCAUGCCGCGUGCAGGAAGACGGUCCUCUGGAUUGUAAACUGCUUUUAACAGGGAAGAAAAAGUGACUGCGGUCAAAAUUGCCGGUACCUGUUGAAUAAGCCACGGCUAACUACGUGCCAGCAGCCGCGGUAAUACGUAGGUGGCAAGCGUUGUCCGGAUUUAUUGGGUUUAAAGGGUGCGUAGGUGGAGAAUUAAGUCAGUGGUAAAAGACUGCAGCUUAACUGUUAGUAUGCCAUUGAUACUGGUUUUCUUGAGUAAAGUAGAGGUAAACGGAAUUGACAGUGUAGCGGUGAAAUGCAUAGAUAUUGUCAAGAACUCCAAUUGCGAAGGCAGUUUACUGGACUUUUACUGACACUGAGGCA